rnacentral:rRNA from 1 species
AGCGAACAUUGGCGGUAGGCUUAACACAUGCAAGUCGAGCGAGGCGUAAUAGUCGAGCGGCGAACGGGUGCGUAAUACAUGGGAAUCUACCUUGAAGUGGGGGAUAACGUCCAGAAAUGGACGCUAAUACCGCAUAAUCCACAUUGGGAAAGCGUUGCAGCGCUUUAAGAUGAGCCCAUGGCUGAUUAGCUAGUUGGUGAGGUAAUGGCUCACCAAGGCGACGAUCAGUAGCUGGUCUGAGAGGAUGAUCAGCCACACUGGAACUGAGACACGGUCCAGACUCCUACGGGAGGCAGCAGUGGGGAAUCUUGCGCAAUGGGGGCAACCCUGACGCAGCCAUACCGCGUGAGUGAUGAAGGUCUUCGGAUUGUAAAGCUCUUUCGGCAGGGACGACGAUGACGGUACCCGCAAAAGAAGUCACGGCUAACUUCGUGCCAGCAGCCGCGGUAA